GGGCCGAUAGCUCAGCUUGGCUGGAGCGUUCGACUGAUAAUCGAAAGGUCGUGGGUUCAAAUCCCAUUCGGCCCA
rnacentral:tRNA from 1 species